rnacentral:rRNA from 1 species
CAAGGCAUUGCCUCAGUAGCGGCGAGUGAAGCGGCAAGAGCUCAGAUUUGAAAUCGUGCUUUGCGGCACGAGUUGUAGAUUGCAGGUUGGAGUCUGUGUGGAAGGCGGUGUCCAAGUCCCUUGGAACAGGGCGCCCAGGAGGGUGAGAGCCCCGUGGGAUGCCGGCGGAAGCAGUGAGGCCCUUCUGACGAGUCGAGUUGUUUGGGAAUA